UACGGGGGGGGCAAGCGUUGUUCGGAAUUACUGGGCGUAAAGGGCUCGUAGGCGGCCAACUAAGUCGGACGUGAAAUCCCCAGGCUCAACCUGGGAACUGCGUCCGAUACUGGAUGGCUUGAAUCCGGGAGAGGGAUGCAGAAUUCCAGGUGUAGCGGUGAAAUGCGUAGAUAUCUGGAGGAAUACCGGUGGCGAAGGCAGGUCUCUGGGCCGCAACUGACGCUGAGGAGCGAAAGCAUGGGGAGCGAACAGG
rnacentral:rRNA from 1 species